CCAGACUCCUACGGGAGGCAGCAGUGGGGAAUAUUGCACAAUGGGGGAAACCCUGAUGCAGCGACGCCGCGUGAGUGAAGAAGUAUUUCGGUAUGUAAAGCUCUAUCAGCAGGGAAGAAAAUGACGGUACCUGACUAAGAAGCCCCAGCUAACUACGUGCCAGCAGCCGCGGUAAUACGUAGGGGGCAAGCGUUAUCCGGAUUUACUGGGUGUAAAGGGAGCGUAGACGGCAUGGCAAGUCAGAUGUGAAAGCCCGGGGCUCAACCCCGGGACUGCAUUUGAAACUGUCAGGCUGGAGUGCAGGAGAGGUAAGUGGAAUUCCUAGUGUAGCGGUGAAAUGCGUAGAUAUCAGGAGGAACACCAGUGGCGAAGGCGGCUUGCUGGACGAUGACUGACGUUGAGGCUCGAAAGCGUGGGGAGCAAACAGGAUUAGAUACCCCCGUACG
rnacentral:rRNA from 1 species